rnacentral:rRNA from 1 species
UACGUAGGGCGCAAGCGUUGUCCGGAAUUAUUGGGCGUAAAGAGCUCGUAGGCGGCUUGUCACGUCGGGUGUGAAAGCCCGGGGCUUAACCCCGGGUCUGCAUUCGAUACGGGCAGGCUAGAGUGUGGUAGGGGAGAUCGGAAUUCCUGGUGUAGCGGUGAAAUGCGUAGAUAUCGUGAGGAAGGCCAGCGGCGAAGGCGGCGCUCUGGGCCGGAACUGACGCUGAGGAGCGAAAGCGUGGGUAGCAAACAGG